GUCGCACAGGCCUACCAGGUGAGGCACCUGUCUUCCAAACAGGGGAACCGGGUUCGACUCCCGGGUGCGGCUCCA
rnacentral:tRNA from 1 species